rnacentral:rRNA from 1 species
UACAGAGGGUGCGAACGUUGUUCGGAAUCACUGGGCAUAAAGCGCACGUAGGCGGCACCGCAAGUGUGGCGUGAAAUCCCACGGCUUACCCGUGGAACUGCUUGGCAGACUGCGGUGCUAGAGGUUGGUAGGGGAGAGCGGAACUCUUGGUGGAGCGGUGAAAUGCGUAGAUAUCAAGAGGAACACCGGUGGCGAAGGCGGCUCUCUGGUCCAAUCCUGACGCUGAGGUGCGAAAGCUAGGGGAGCAAACGGG